AAGCUCGUAGUUGAAUUUCGGGGUCAGUAGGUUGGUCGUGCCACUGGUAUGUACUGGUCUCACUGAUUCCUCCUUCCUGAUGAGCUGUAAUGCCAUUAAUUUGGUGUUGCAGGGAAUCUGGACUGUUACUUUGAAAAAAUUAGAGUGUUUAAAGCAGGCUAACGCUUGAAUACAUUAGCAUGGAAUAAUGAAAUAGGACGUUCGAUCCUAUUUUGUUGGUUUCUAGGAUUGACGUAAUGAUUAAUAGGAUAGUUGG
rnacentral:rRNA from 1 species